rnacentral:rRNA from 1 species
GACGAACGCUGGCGGCGUGCUUAAACCAUGCAAGUCGAACGGAAAGGCCCUGCUUUUGUGGGGUGCUUGAGUGGCGAACUGAUUGGUAACACGUGAGUAUCCUGCCCUUGACUUUGGGAUAUCUUCAUCAAACUGGGGCUAAUACCGGAUAGGAUCUCCUGCUGCAUUUUGGGUGUUGUAAAGUUUCGGCGGUUGUGGAUGGACUCGCGGCUUGUCCGUUCGUUGGUCUGGUUGUGGCUUACCACGGCUUUGACGGGUAGCCGGCCUGAGAGGUUGAGCGGCCACAGUGGGACAGAGAUACGGACCAGACUCCGACGGGCGGAAGCAGUGGGGAAUAUUGCACGAUGGGCGGCACCCUGAUGCAGGAACGCCGCUUGCGGGAUGACGGCCUUGGGGUUGGAACCCGGUAUCGCAUGUGACGAAGCGUGAGUGACGGUAAUGGAUAAAGAAGCACCGGCUAAAUUCGUG